UACGUAGGCAGCAAGCGUUGUUCGGAGUUACUGGGCGUAAAGGGUGUGUAGGCGGUUUUUUAAGUUUGGUGUGAAAUCUCCCGGCUCAACCGGGAGGGUGCGCCGAAUACUGAGGGACUCGAGUGCGGGAGAGGAAAGUGGAAUUCCUGGUGUAGCGGUGAAAUGCGUAGAUAUCAGGAGGAACACCGGUGGUGUAGACGGCUUUCUGGACCGUAACUGACGCGGAGACACGAAAGCGUGGGUAGCAAACAGG
rnacentral:rRNA from 1 species